GAAGCAACUAAAAAUAAAAAACCUACUCGCGACUUCUUCCUCCCAAUUUCGGAGCUUCUCUCUCUUCCACUGUCUUUCUCUCUCUCUUCCACUGUCUCUCUCUCUCUCUCUCUCUCUCUCUCUCUCUCUCCCCUUCAUUUAAGCACCUCCAUACACAGGCGUCGUUUCUCCCGGUUUUUGGAUAAUUUCAUGAUUUAGUGAUCCACACAUUUUCCAUAACCCUCUUUACGGAAGGGAUCCAAGGAUUGAAAAAGCAAGCAAAGCAGGGAAGAAGGUUGGAAAAGCAGGGCUCUUUCAUUUGCUUCCAUAAUUUCGUCCCCUUAUCGCAGUGCAGUUCUUGCUAUGAUCUUCGUUUUCAGCCCUAUUUUGCUUCGGGAACCUAUUCUUGGCAAAAAAGACAUCGUCCUUGAAACAGCUUGAAGCUCCACUGGGUUUCGAGAUUUUUCAGGAAGCGGGAGGUUGUUUGUAGAGUGAGUGAGAUGGAGACCGAACCGCCACCGGAUAGUAAUAACGAUGAGCCUUCACCGUUGGCAUAUACCUCGCGACCUCAUCAUCAUGUACUCAAGGUUUUUGUUUGUGGCUCUCGAACUUGCCUCAUCCACAAAUUCGGCUUUGACCGUUAUUUCUCCUCCUUGGCUUCUGUUUCCAUCUCUGACCUGUUCAACUUCGAUUGAGCUUGAAAGAUUGAGAACCAGAAGGUUGGAGGACAGGAUGAUCAAGUAUUAACCCAUUUUAAAAGAAAAGGUAAACCAUGAAAAUCCCAAAGUGAUAUCCCAUGACCUACAACGAUUUUCUUAUCGAUCAAAUCAUUAUUGGAAGCCUACUCGGAGUCUCCAUGUCUUGGAACGUAAUUCUGGAGUUGUUAUUAAUUUUUUAAAAUUAUUUGAUAUGGGUUUUGUUUAUUUGUGGAGUUAGAUACUAUUCUACUCAUCUGCCGUUGGUUUUAUGAUUCUUGUUGUUGUGCUGCAGCGCGUUCAUUAACAAACUUCCACUCCCGGAAUCUCGACUUGAACACGUUGUCGAUAACCUUCAUCAAAUUUGGGUCACUUUUGUCAAUGUCCCAAUUGGCCUGUCAUGCAAAAAAUUAAUAAAUUAAAAUCUCAUUAUUAUAUUAUAUUUAACAAACAUAAUUAUUAUUUGACUAAUGAAAUUAACACAUACAGCUAACUCAUCAAUCAUGUGCAUCUUCAGCUUCUCGAGGAUGGGUCUCCAAGACUCCCAAUCUGCAGUACAUUUGGUACGCACCAUUGCUCCUACAUCAGACGAAAUGUUGGGGCGCUUAUUUGACUUCACAGUCCUUAUUAUUUCAUCAGCAAUGAUUUGGUAACGACUCCCACCAUAAGUAUGUCGGACCUGCACCGCAG